rnacentral:rRNA from 1 species
GACAGAGGGUGCAAACGUUGUUCGGAAUUACUGGCGUAAAGCGCGUGUAGGCGGCCCUGCAAGUCGGGUGUGAAAUCCCACGGCUCAACCGUGGAAGUGCACUCGAAACUGCAGGGCUAGAGUCCUGGAGAGGAAGGUGGAAUGCUUGGUGUAGAGGUGAAAUUCGUAGAUAUCAAGCGGAACACCGGUGGCGAAGGCGGCCUUCUGGACAGUGACGUGACGCUGAGACGCGAAAGC